rnacentral:rRNA from 1 species
CGCUGGCGGCGUGCUUAACACAUGCAAGUCGAACGGGAUCCAUCGGGCUUUGCUUGGUGGUGAGAGUGGCGAACGGGUGAGUAAUGCGUGACCGACCUGCCCCAUGCACCGGAAUAGCUCCUGGAAACGGGUGGUAAUGCCGGAUGCUCCAUCACACCGCAUGGUGUGUUGGGAAAGCCUUUGCGGCAUGGGAUGGGGUCGCGUCCUAUCAGCUUGAUGGCGGGGUAACGGCCCACCAUGGCUUCGACGGGUAGCCGGCCUGAGAGGGCGACCGGCCACAUUGGGACUGAGAUACGGCCCAGACUCCUACGGGAGGCAGCAGUGGGGAAUAUUGCACAAUGGGCGCAAGCCUGAUGCAGCGACGCCGCGUGAGGGAUGGAGGCCUUCGGGUUGUAAACCUCUUUUGUUAGGGAGCAAGGCACUUUGUGUUGAGUGUACCUUUCGAAUAAGCACCGGCUAACUCGUGCCAGCAGCCGCGG